rnacentral:rRNA from 1 species
UUACUACGGAGAGUUUGAUCCUGGCUCAGGACGAACGCUGGCGGCGUGCUUAACACAUGCAAGUCUAGGACGGUUUUGGAUUUAUUCAAAAACGGACUGGCGGACGGGUGAGUAACGCGUAUGCAAUCUACCAUUGGCACGGGGAUAACACCUCUAACGAGAUGCUAAUACCCGAUGACGCAGCGGCACCGCAUGGUGACAGUUGUUAAAUGCUUCGGCGGCCAUUGAUGAGCAUGCGUUUGAUUAGGUAGUUGGUGAGGUAACGGCUCACCAAGCCAACGAUCAAUAGCUGGUCUGAGAGGAUGAUCAGCCACACUGGGACUGAGACACGGCCCAGACUCCUACG